ensembl:lncRNA
GCUCCUCCCAAGCAAACAGAAUGCAGAGAAGCCAGCGUUCCCAAGUUCAAGGCCAAGGCAGGGCGGCGGUCCCUGCGGAGGGAACUUCCUUGGGCCAAGGAUCAGCAAAAUCUGGAAGAAUCUGCCUGGAAGCUGAUUUCCCUGGUUUCUGUCCCAGAGGUCAGCUCUCUAUCUGAUCCCAAUACGACAAAACAGGAUGGAUGAAUUCCCCUGAUGUUCUAGGCGCAGGCAAGUGUUUUCCACGGUGUGAGCCUCUCUCCCCUACAGACUUGAUCUCACAACCUUCCCCCUUUCAAAGACAAAUGGUUUAUGAAGCUGCUUCAUACUAAUAUGUGAACAACUGCCUGCUGACUUUAGCCUGCCCUGUGUACUUGACUAUGAACUCCUGGAGCCCAGGGACUGUCUCAUUCCUCUUCGUGGUUGCAGUGCCAAGUACAAGGCUCGGUACAGAGUUGGUGUUGUGUGGAUAAUCUUAAAGAAGACAGAAUAGCAAUAAUGAAUCAUAACAGGUAACAACCGCUGGAUGUUUUCUAAAAGCCACAGAGUCAGCUAAGGGCUUUAUGUAUGUUGCCUUAUCUCAUCUUCACCUUGUGUGGUAGGUACUGUGCUUAUUCCCAUUUUACAGAGGAGGAAACUGAGGCUUGGGGAGGUGAAAUAACUUAUAACACCUCCUCUUCCCAAAUGUCUCUAAUGAUGAAUUUUUGGCUUCCAUGAGUGUGGGUUUUUUGUUUUGUUUUGUUUUGUUUUGUUUUGUUUUUUCAGGAAGUCCCCAAAUCCCAAUCAGAGUGACUCGGGAGAGGACCGGAAGGCGUCAACCAAAUCCCGAUCAAAACUUCUCUCCCGCUCCCACCUGCCUGGUGAAAAUACAGGCGCCCCUGGGACUCCCAGCUUCUGGGCGGGCCUGGAAAGGGCUCAGGGAAGCCAAGCCUUUGCUGGAGGGUAGGGAGCCUCACUUGGGUUUGCCUGAAGCCCCUAUUUUUCAGAGGCCCCCUGUCUGCCCUCCUCGUGGCUCAGGGCCCCUCAGUGAAGGGGCUCACUGUGCACAGGGUUGGUCUCUCCCAUCAGACGGCGCUCCACAAGACCAGGAUCUGUAGUUCACCAGCGGGUCCCCAGGCAGGUAGGUACACAGGGCCUGGUGCUAUUUGCUUCAGGAGCUGGCCCUGGAGCCCAGUGACGCCCAGUUCCAGCUCUCUCAGCAGCCUUAAAGCUGGGAGGAAGAUCGUAACCAGGUUGGCCUUCGCCUAGACUUCUCGUUAAAAGGGAAGCCCGCAGAGAAGGGACACAACCACAGGAUGCAGGUACAUGCAGAGGCUGCCACCAGCCGCUAGCCACAGCCUCCACGCUCAUCUCCAUCACCUGGGUCCUGGCUCCCCUCCUCCAGGAAGCCCUCCCUGGUGCGCCCCACCCACAUUCCCUGUUAUACCUGUCGCUUGGGUUCCAGGAAGCUUGGGGCGGUCACAGCUCUGGGGAGAAGAUGGGAGAGCAAGACUCAGGCUUCUUUAGGUUUCAGAACUGGGCUUUCAGUUCCAGGUCAUGGUUUCUGUCCUCUUCUCCCCUCUUCUCACGAAGAGGCUCUCUCAGUCAUCCUUGCUUUUCUGUCUUUUUCUCCCUUCUUUUCUCUUCUUGCCUCAUUCCCCUCUUCCUUCCAUCUCCCCCUCAUUUCCUUCCUUCACUCCAGCACUUUUUCGUGGAAGACUUGAGUCCACUUUUGCCUUCAGCCCACCUCCAGGCCUCUGGGCGUUCAGACCGGCCCCAGGUCGGCUCACUGGGUUGCGUAGUUCAGUGCCAACCUUGGGCUCUGUGGGCCUUACUCUGGGCUGAGUGUCGGGGCGGAGCGGCCUCAUGGUGACACCCAACAACCCCACCCUCACCACCCACCCUGCUGGGCCAGCGCUGGAAGCAAGACACCGCCACCCCUUCCACCUUCCUCGCUGCAAGUGCAAGAAGAAGUCAGGGGCCAAGGAAAGAGCCCUGGAGUAGGCGUCUCCAUUCCCUGAGUGCGUG